rnacentral:rRNA from 1 species
UACGAAGGGGGCUAGCGUUGUUCGGAAUUACUGGGCGUAAAGCGCACGUAGGCGGGUUUGUAAGUAGGGGGUGAAAUCCCAGGGCUCAACCCUGGAACUGCCUUCUAAACUGCAAGCCUGGAGGUCAGGAGAGGCGAGUGGAAUACCGAGUGUAGAGGUGAAAUUCGUAGAUAUUCGGUGGAACACCAGUGGCGAAAGCGGCUCACUGGACCACAACUGACGCUGAGGCGCGAAAGCUAGGGGAGCAAACAGG